CUAGUACUCCCUUCGUCCCAAAAUUCUUGUCUUAGAUUUGUCUACAUACGGAUGUACCGUAUGUAGACAAAUCUAAGACAAGAAUUUUGGGACGGAGGGAGUAUAAU
rfam:Triticum aestivum genome assembly, contig: Triticum_aestivum_CS42_TGACv1_scaffold_344805_4DL